CUGCCGUCGCACCUCUCCCCGCCGCCGCUCUGCCUUCACUUCCCCGAGCUAGCUCGCGUGCCGCCGCCACCUCUCCGCCGCUCGUCGCUCCCACCACUGCGCCGCUGUAGAUCCACCGCAUCUCAUCCUCCCAAUGGCCACCGCCCGUGUUGACCCUGUCCGCAUCAGGCAGCUCGCGUACGCGUACGGCACCGGGCUCCUGCCGCCGCAAAAGUACUCGAGGUCACCAGGAAGGAGCUCGCUGCCGCCGGAAAGGAGCUCGUCGCCACCGGAUGUGAGCUCGCCGCCGGCUUCUGGUCUCGUCCCUGACCUCCUCCCUCCGUGCUUGAGAAUUCUGCUGUCCACACCGUCGGUUCCUGAACUUCCAGUCGUCAGUCGACCAGCACACCAAGGAAAAAAAUGGCAAGGGAAGAAGGGUUUAAGCGAGGAGGCUCACACAUAUGAUGAUGUACGGGAGGAACAAGUGGCAAGAGACGCUGAGAAAAUGAAGAGUUUGGGGAUUGCUGUUAUUUCUAGUGAUUUGAAUGAAUUAAAGAAGGCAGCUAUAUGAGUGUUGUUUGCUACUCUGGUUCCCAAUUUCUAUUAGUACUGCAUUUGCUCAAUUUAUAUGAAUUUCUUCUCUACAAAUCUACAAUUGAAAUGAACUUGAAGUGCUUAAUUACUUCAUCAUUCAAUUGUCCCUAAAAACUGGUUUAUCAUGUAUUGCUAUGGUUGUUUUGUACUUAUCUGUUUCAUAUUUUCGUUCAUAUGGUCUAGCCUUACACAUGGUAAAUUUUAUGCUCUGGCAACAUGCUGCGUAAAAAUGAGAGUUCAUCAUGUGCAUGUCGAGGGAAGAUUAUGUGCCCAUACUUUUUUGAGUUCGUAUGCGUCCUUAUGCACCGGGAAAAAUAGUACCUAGUAAUCUAUCAUUUUUGGAGUGGUGCUAAAUUCUUGAUUUGGAGUGUUAAUAUCAUCAUGUGCAGACUGUUCUAUUAUAGCUUAGGUUUAUCUAGUUUUACUGUUAUAUUAUAGCGUAGGUUUAUUUUUAUCAUUCCUCUAUGCUGAAACUUGUGUUAUCGUUUCUAGAGAACUUCAGAAGUAACUGUUCCAGAAUUAAGUUGAGUGCUUAGAUCUCAAUCAGUUAUACUUGGAUCCGAUGAUGAAGAAGGUGUUGAAAAUAUGCAUACUGACCAGCUAGAAGUGGAUGAAGGUGGAGGUUGUCAAGUACAAGACGAAGCAAGCCUCACCGCCACAAGAAGAAUGAACUCCCAAGAGGUUAAUUAACAGCAUAAGAGGUUGAUCAUCAUCGGAAGAAAUAAAUACAGAAUGCUCCAUGGACUAGAUGAAAGGACAACCAUUGUCUUACACAUAUUUGUUGCAAUGCCAUUGUCUUAGAAACCAACUUAUGCUUGUUCUUUGUUGUCGGUGGGUGGCAUAUUUAAGGUCGUGUAUUACACCUGAUCAAGAAGUAUUUCAUUUUGAGUGUGAUCGUGGAUGGACCAUGCUUUAUGAAGAAUAUGUGUGACUUUUGGAUUAAUUAGUUAUGGUCAUGUUCACUUUGUAACAUA